UACGGGGGGGGGUAAGCGUUGUCCGGAUUUACUGGGCGUAAAGAGCGCGCAGGCGGUCGUUCAAGUCGCGUGUGAAAGCCCCCCGGCUCAACUGGGGAGGGUCACGCGAUACUGAUCGACUCGAAGGCAGGAGAGGGUAGUGGAAUUCCGGGUGUAGUGGUGAAAUGCGUAGAGAUCCGGAGGAAUACCAGUGGCGAAGGCGGCACGCUGGGCCAUAACUGACGCUAAGACUCGAAAGCAUGGGUAGCGAACGGG
rnacentral:rRNA from 1 species